rnacentral:rRNA from 1 species
UACUUAGUGGCGGACGGGUGAGUAACGCGUAAGAAUCUAGCUUCAGGUUCGGGACAACAAUUGGAAACGAUUGCUAAUACCGGAUAUGCCUACGGGUAAAAGGCUUGCUGCCUGAAGAAGAGCUUGCGUCCGAUUAGCUAGUUGGUGGGGUAAAGGCUUACCAAGGCGGCGAUCGGUAGCUGGUCUGAGAGGAUGACCAGCCACACUGGGACUGAGACAAGGCCCAGACUCCUACGGGAGGCAGCAGUGGGGAAUCUUCCGCAAUGGGCGAAAGCCUGACGGAGCAAUACCGCGUGAGGGAAGAAGGCUCUUGGGUUGUAAACCUCUUUUCUCAGGGAAUAAAAAAAUGAAGGUACCUGAGGAAUAAGCAUCGGCUAACUCCGUGCCAGCAGCCGCGGUAAUACGGAGGAUGCAAGCGUUAUCCGGAAUGAUUGGGCGUAAAGCGU